AGAAAUAUUAGCUAGAGUUCAGGAAGAAAAAGAGGGUUUAUGACUUUUGAAAGAAAGAGAAGACCACUCAGGAGAUCUACAAAUAUGUUGUGAGGCUGUGCAGGGAAAAAAUUAGAAGGGCCAAAGCCCAGCUGGAGCUCAAUCUGGCUGAUGCUAUUAAGGACAGAACCAAAUGAUUUUAUAAAUACAUAAACAAGAAAAGGAGGACUAAGCAGAAUCUCCACCCUUUGUUAGGACAGGGAAAGAUAGUGACAGGAGAUGAGGAAAGAGCUGAGGUACUUAGUGCCUUCUUUGCCUUUAGUAGUAGGACCAGUUGUUCUCUGGGUACCCAGACCCCUGAGCUAGAAGAUAGGAACAGGAAGCAGAGCGAAGCCCUCGUAAUCCAUGAGGUAAUUAGACCCGUAAGGCCAAUGGAACUGGACUGGUACCUUCUUUCUGAGGCUGGCACAAGCUUUUGUCAUUUGGAUGGUGGCAGGAGUACCAUUACAGUUACCAUGUAUCCAAGGAAGAUUGUUCAGAACAAUAGGAAAUUCUGAAAAGCAGAGAUGGGAGUUACUAGGAGGAAUUUGACUGAAGGAGCACCGUGGAGGCUGCUCAGCACAGGCGGCCGGGAAACUAAUUCUUCUCUGCAAUGGGAGAGCUGGAAAUGCUAUGAGGAUCUGCAUGACACAAUCAAAUAAAUGCAUGAGCAGAGGGCCCCAGAAGGUGAACUUUGUCUCAAAUGGAGAAGAGAGCUACUGUGGAGGAUGAAGGAGCUAGUAAUAUGCACAUGGAAUAUGCAGAAAAAUCUCUGUGUUACAUCUCCCAAGGCAGAAUGUGAAAUCCCGCUAUUACAGAGAAAAAAAAAAAAAGAGAGAGAGAGAAAAAGAAAAGGAAGGUGAAAACUUGGGAAGAAAACAUGGGAGGGAUGAACUGAGAACACAACUACUGUAUUUUCCUAUCUCUCUCUGAUCCGCUAUUGUUUGCACAUCGUCCCCCCACCCCAAACAGGCCUAACCCCUACUUAUCUG
rnacentral:lncRNA from 1 species